UCUGGGCAUGGCCCGCCGCCGCCUCCUGCCCCUGUGGGUCGCGCCGCCGCCGGUUUGCGCCGCCGCUGGCGUGCCUUGCCGGCGUCGUCGACGUCUUGUGCCGCGGCCGAGGACCGCCGUUGCUCCGGUGCGCCGGCCCGAAGCGCCACCGCCGCCUGGGCCGUGCGCCGCAGCCUCCUGUGCGGAUGCGCCGCCGCCUCCUGUGCGUCGGUCAGCCCCUGUUGGGCACCUCUGAUGCCCCUGUGUGCAUGCGCCGCCGCCUCCUGUGCAUCGACGCGAAGCGGUGCCGUGCGCCGCGCCUUGCGUCGCGGCCGAGGGCUGCCGCCGUCGCUUCGUGGGGCGCCUCCUGUGUUCCUUCUUCCAUGGAUUCCGCCCCUCCCCCUAGUGCGCGGCCAUGGCCGGCCACAGAUGGCGGGGAUGUGCUGCGCCGGCGAGGCCGUCGCGUGGGGCCCCUGUGGGUGCACCGCCGCCACUCCUGUGUGCCGGUGCACCGCCGGCGGGGUGCGCUGCCGAGCGCAGUGCCAUGGAGGGUGAAGCAGUGGCGUCCUUUCCUCUGGAAGUGGCGACAUCGACGACCAGUGCAACGGCGAGGAGAACGAGGAAUCCAUUUUCCAAUGCAAAGAAUUGAAGGGACCUCGACAAGUUGCCUGGAGUGGCCUUCUCUUGCGCUCAGUGCAGAGGCGUGCGUGAUAACGCGAGAUCAAGAGACAUCUCGAAAGGACAUGUCCUUUUGUGACUCCUUAGGGCACCCUUUGGGGUGUCCCAAAUGGGGAAUAUCCAAUAAUUAUAAAAUUAACUAAAUAUUACACUAAUUGAUCAUUAAUUAACUAUUUCUCUUUUAACACUAUGCCUGCUUGCAGCAUAGCCUCCCGCCAUGUUAUUUAUUGGUCUCUUUAUUUUUGUU